rnacentral:rRNA from 1 species
CACCUCUUGCUUAACUAUAAUAGGCCCAGCCUGCCCUCUGAUAAUUUUAUUUAACGGCCGCGGUAACCUAACCGUGCUAAGGUAGCAUAGUCACUCGUUCCUUAAAUGGGGACUAGUAUGAAUGGCACCACGAAGACUAUACUGUCUCCUCUCUACAAUCAGUGAAACUGAUCUCCCCGUGAAAAAGCGGGGAUUAUAUUAUAAGACGAGAAGACCCCAUGAAGCUUGAAACUAAUAACCAACCGCCACCCAAAACCACUGGAAGUCUGGCAGACCUGGCUAUAAAUUUUUGGUUGGGGCAACCGCGGAGCAAAAUAAAACCUCCACAAUAUACAUUAUAGGUGACCUACUCCCACCCAAUCUAAGAACAACACUUCUAAGUAUCAAACAUUGACUCUGUGAUCCAAAUCUUUGAUCAAUGAAUCCAGUUACUCUGGGGAUAACAGCGCAAUCUAUUUCAAGAGCCCAUAUUGACAAAUAGGUUUACGACCUCGAUGUUGGAUCAGGGUACCCCAGUGGUGCAACCGCCGCUAACGGUUCGUUUGUUCAACGAUUAAAACCCCU